rnacentral:pre_miRNA from 1 species
UUGACAGAAGAGAGUGAGCACACGGCGUGAUGACCGGCAUAAAAUCUAUCCCGUCUUCGCCGCGUGCUCACUCCUCUUUCUGUCAC